rnacentral:rRNA from 1 species
GACGAACGCUGGCGGCGUGCCUAAUACAUGCAAGUCGAACGAACCGCGACUAGGUGCUUGCACUUGGUCAAGGUGAGUGGCGAACGGGUGAGUAACACGUGGGUAACCUACCUCAUAGUGGGGGAUAACAGUCGGAAACGACUGCUAAUACCGCAUAGGACAUAGGAUCACAUGAUCCAGUGAGGAAAGGUGGCGCAAGCUAUCGCUAAGAGAUGGACCCGCGGUGCAUUAGCUAGUUGGUAGGGUAAAGGCCUACCAAGGCGAUGAUGCAUAGCCGACCUGAGAGGGUGAUCGGCCACAUUGGGACUGAGACACGGCCCAAACUCCUACGGGAGGCAGCAGUAGGGAAUCUUCCGCAAUGGACGCAAGUCUGACGGAGCAACGCCGCGUGAGUGAAGAAGGUCUUCGGAUCGUAAAGCUCUGUUGUUAGAGAGGAACAGCGCAUAGAGUAACUGUUAUGCGUGUGACGGUAUCUAAACAGAAAGCCACGGCUAACUACGUG